GCUGCUGAUCCUCUAUGGUUGGACUUACUUCUGGCGACUCUUCGUCUGUCUCCCUAUUUUCAGGUUCAUCUCUUUCUCUUACUUGAGUCGGAGGUAUUUCUACUUUAUCCUCUCGGGAUUUCUCUAUUGCCUCGCUUACUCGCGAUUUAUUUCGAUACAUCAAUUGGUUCUUCUUAUUCUGAUUACACUUCUUCCUGUCUACCAUAUUUCUAUUCAUUUCCGAGCCUGUGCUGGCUCGUUUUAACCUGUUUACGUGCAAUGUAAUGGAUUUGUCUUCCUCUAUUUUUAACUUGUAAAUCGGUGGUUAUAUUUUCUCUAAUAUCCUAUAAGGACCCUGAUACUUAUAUUCAAAUUUCUUAGCUUUCCCCCUUUGUUAUAGGGUUAUGUAGAUACACAAAAUGUCCCUUCUUUAAUAAAUUUUCACGAGUUUUCCUAUCGUAGUACUUCUUAGCAAGUUCAUGACUCAAUUUGGACUGUUUCCCAGCCUCCUGAUUCGCUUCGUGUAUCCUUAGGGCUAAUUCCUUAACAUGUCUAUCGUAAUCGUCUUUAUUUCCGGCUUCUUCCCGCAGUGUCGGCUUCCAAUCGUCCUCUAUUGGAAGUCUCAAAUCCCUACCAUAUACCAGGUAGUAAGGGGAAUAUUUCACUGUACAAUGUGGAGUGGCUCUAUACGCCAUUACUGCGUAGGGGACAUACUUUGUAACCCUACAAUGCAAAGGACUACAAUGUUUUGUUCACGUGUGUCCGUACUUGUCACUACAUCAAAGCAGAGGUAAUACCUCACACCCCACUCCAACCAGAGGGACCUGAACCCUUUCGCAGUUCCGAGAUGGUAAAGUUUAUGACGGGUCAUAAUCCCCGGACUAAACCCAAACCAGCCCGACACUCUCCCUACUUUUAGAAAGAGCCAUACGUUCUAAUAAAAGAGAAAUCUGUCCAAAAGACGUUGGAAAGAACUAUUGUCACGUAGAGAGGUGGCCCUCUAACGGUCAUAACUCUCCAAAUGUUAAAACCUGCUUUUAGAAAGGAGCGGCGAAUUGUUUCAUUAGUAGAGGAACGGGACCAAUUUUCAACACCCGAUUCGUCACGGACCUACCCUUAGGAGACCGUGAGAUUGAACCCUCUCAAUCCACCCCGGAUCAGAAAGACUGUGACAGCGUGUGAACCCCAACUUUCGCCGCGAAACAGCUGACCAUUGGAGGAACGAGAAACUCUAUCGAACCCCUUCCCCCUCUAAAUCCAGUCAACCAGGAGAUUUGGAGGAUGGCAACGAGGCGUUCCUCAAAUUUUGGCAGUACCUCUGAAUCUGCAAAAACAGAUGGUGAGUUCUUUUUCAAAAGUUUCGUAAGAACAGUUAAACUCGCCGGACGCGGAACUAGCCCUCUCCAUCGUUUGUUAAGUGAAAGUAGUGUUUGAACAACGGGUGGAGAUCAUAGUAAAGUAACGACCUGAGUUCUAUCUCAGUGGCGCUCAGAUUAAAAAUCAAUAAAGUUAAGUGGUGCCAAGUGUUUGUGUCCAGUAUGUUCUUCUCCUCGUCGGAGUAAGGCCCUAAACGACCUGAGCCAGAGUCUCACGCCACCCACGACUAGCCCAAUCACCAUCAGCUCCCACCCCGUCCACAUUUUCUCUUCACUUCGCAGCUGUACCCACAGUUGCUGGCGCCCAUUGACAAAUCACGCCAAGUCCCGGACCUGAUACCCCUUUCCAUAGUGAAGAGAAGUGGUGGAGUUGGAGAAGCGGUGGAGCCAGGUAAAGCAGACCUAGCUGCAAGCUCCACUACCAACGACGGCAGCAGCGAGAACGACAAGAGAAAGGAAGGAAGAUAAAGAGUAGCGACCAACCGGUGUGGCUUGAGGCUUCACUGGGUGGGACGGUAAGAACUUGUCCCAAUUCUUCGCGUCCUUAUUUACAAAGUGUGAAAAUCAUAUCAAUUAGUAACUUGUGCAUCCGCUCGCAAAUUCCGUUUGCCUGAGCAUUGUAACUACUGGUCUGUAACUUCUGUAUUUUCAACAGCUUGCAGGUUUCCUCCUCUAUCUGUUAAUAGUUUCUUAGGGACCCCAUAUUGCGUAAUAAUCUUCAUUACAAAUUCUCUGGCUAUUACUUCCGCUUCUUGUGUGGGUAUGGGGAUUGCAUCACAAAAUCUCGUAAAAUGAUCUACAAAUGUAAGUACUUAUUUCCACUAUUUGUAACCGGAAGUGGUCCUACCACGUCCAAUGAUACUACAUCCAAGAAUUCCUUUGCGACUAAGGAUUCUCCCAGGGGUGCGACUAUUUUAUUUCCCGUUUUCCUCUUUGCAUAUGCUUCACGAGCAUUUAUAUAUUCUGUAACAUCUUUACUUAAAGAUUCCCACCAAUAUUUUCGUCUAAUAGCGGCAAUGGUCCUUGCAACGCCUUGAUGUGCGGCAAAUGGCAAUUCAUGAUAACAUUUUAGUACGGUUGCAACUAUGUAGUUCCCUUGGAAUUACAAGUGGACAUCCUUCCUGUCCCUCAUAAUACAACACCUGGUCCUCAUCUAACCAGAAUUUCUCAGAUACCUUAUAUUCCUCCUAUAAUAAAUCAUUUUCCUGUGCUUCCUUUAUUUUCUCUUUUGUCAAUGAAUAGUCCUCCCAUUACUACUUGUACACACCGUGCCUCAUUUUCGAAUUUGAUCGGUGUUCCACUACAAAAUCAUAUUCAGAUAAUUUCACUGCCCAGCGGGUCAAACUGGAACUCGGAUCCUGUAAAUUCAAUAAUCAUUGCAAAGCUCUAUGGUCCGUAUAUACUUUAAACUGUCGCCCAUACAAAUAACAUCUGAAUUGUUUAACUGCAAAAAUCAACGCUAGCAACUCUUAACUCAGUUAUGCUGCACUUGGAUUCCGCGGAGUUCAGCUGUCGGCUACAGUAUGCUACUGGCCGCUCCUCUCCGUCUUUAACCUGUGACAAGAUGGCUGCAACCGCUUUGGUUGAUGCAUUGCAAGCCACAAUAAAGGGCUGCGAAAAAAUUGGGUAAAUCAACAAGGGUUCCCGACUCAAUUUAUCUUUUAACUCAUCAAAAGCUUCCUGUUGCUCAAGUCCCCAUUUAAAUGGACUAUCUUUCCUAGUUAAAUUCGUCAAGGGUUUAGCAAUUUCUGCAAAAUUGCGAACAUGACGCCUAUAGUACCCAGCUAGUCCUAUAAAAGCCCGAACCUCCUUAACUGUACGAGGGGUUGGAUAAUUUCUAACAGCCUGUAUCUUCCGGGGGUCUGGUUUGACGCCUUCCUUGGUCACUAUGUCCCAGAUACUCUACCGCAGUGUUUCCCAACCUGUGGUACGCGGACCCCUGGGGGUCCGCGGGAUAGUUUAUUUUCAUUAAACUUUACCUUAUCAUGUUCCUCACACCUGGGAUAUUUGCAAUGUAUAUCUCUGGCUCUUGAAGCCCAUGGUUGAAGUAAAAUUUAACGUUACUGUUGGUACCGUUACUUCUUCCCUUGUUGUAUAUGGAGGUUAUAAUUAGUAAAUUAAGACAAAACUAUGAAUAUGAAAGUCAAAACUUAUGGCAGAGAUUGUACACAAAGGAAAAUACGGUAGCUUGACCUGUAAACAGAGAUAUUUACACUGUUAUGAGGUGACCUCGUGACCUCACCCUAUCUACAUAUCUAUAUAUAUACCAACUGAUUGAUGUAUUAUUGAUUUCACUGGAAGAGAUAAGAAUUGAACGAAUAUGUAUACCUAUGUAUUAUCAAUUUAAUCAUUUUAUUACUCACAUAUGAAGAAAGGCUUAGCUACAGGAUAUAGGAUGUGGUCCCAGAAAACCCAGAGCGAGUAACACUAGGAAGCCAGACCAUAUAGACUUCCUACACGGGAGGGCUGACAAAGGAUGUCGCCAAGAGGAGUAACUUUACCGAGGGCGAAAGUCAGAACACUUGUCAUAAGGAAAUAAAUCACAUAGCCUGUAUCGAGUAUUCAGCACCAUGCAUCACUUGCUAGUUUAGAACGGAGAGGUCCAAUUGUAAAAGUUGUUACAAUAUGAUUCAGAGAAUGUAAGAAUAUAUAAAGUAGCACACAGGAAGUAGAAGCACUUCUUCUUCAGUAUAGACAGAGUUACAGUUUAAGCUAGCCGAAGGUCCAUCCUCCAGGGGGAAACCGCUAUCCUAAGGUGGCAGGCGUCAAGCUGCAGUGACUACAGAUCUCUACCAGAACUACACGCUACCAUGAUUGUUUUCUACAGCAUUGCUACGCUAUGUAAGUAGAGACCUGUUUGUCACAGCCUGGCUAGUAACCUCAGAUAGAGGGGAAGUGAUUGCAGGGAAGCAAUAACUUAAUUAACUUGUUUUGUUUUACUUAUUUCAGUUUAUUUCAAUUAUUACAUUUAUUUGUUUACUUUAGUCAAUAAAUUUAUGUUGAUAUAUAUAUAUGUAUUGUGGGUUGGGGAGGGGCAUCCUCCUGCAUCACACCCAUCCCGGUCCCAUAACAACAAAUAGCUUCCAAAUUUAUUUAGUUUAUUAGCCCUCGGGCAACCAUUUCAAACAGUACGUGACCAACUUGAACAUUUUACCACCCUCUGGGUAAAGUCCCCGAAACAGGGCCAUGAUACUGUAAGACCAUGUCCAUAUACAUAUCGAGUUGAGAUGUGUCGUCAGGAGGGGAAAGUUCAACAGGAGAUUCCUAGAGAACGACCCCUAAGGAACAUAUAUAAACCCAAGGAAAUUAGCUGACGACAGCUUUCUAACCAGUCACUAAGAGUUGGGGACUCUGUGCUGUUUAGAGACUCGGCCGCCGCCAUUGGCCUAAGGCACUUACCUGUUUCUCAAGUUUGUACAGUAGCAUUUGUAUAAUAAACAGUUUGUUUUAAGCUAAAUCUUCAGCAAGUCUUCCUUCAACCAGCGAAGUCAACGGAACUAUGGCUCCCGCUCGGCCCAAUCAAUCCGUGCUCCACAGCUAGGAUACGACAACUGGUGUCAGCUGCGAUGUGAACGCUGAGGUCUUCACGACAACUAGCGUGAAACGCGGGGUGUGCGCUAAGGUCUUCACGACAGGUGUACAUCGAAGUCUGCAACUCUCGCAGGAUCAACAUCCAAGACAUGGAACGAGUGGUGGAAGACCCCAAGGAGAAGCGACGAAACAAACGAGAUCAGGUCGGUCUCCAAGCGAGACAGUUCUCCCAGGAGGUAACAGCCAAGGAAAUUUGGUAAAGUAGAACAGAUUUUAUUUGUUGGUGAAAGCGACUGAGAAAGAUCGCGGUAAGCAACUGCUGGUAGCAGAUAGUCAACGACAGAAAUAAAUUUGUCAGACAACAGGUCACUGAUAGGUGACAAAAGAAAGAAACAGAUGCUAUUUGUUUGUGAAAGCUAUUGAGAAAGAUCGCGGUAAGCAACUACUGGUAGCAGAUAGUCGACGACAGAAGUAAAUUCGUCUGAUAACAGGUCACCGAUAGGUGACAAAAGAGAACUUUAAUUUGCAAGGGUAGUAAGUUAAUUAGACUUAAAAGUUUUCAGUGAAGGAGAAAACAGCAGAGAAGGCAACUACGGCGAGACAUCAACGCAGGUUGCAGAAACUCACCUACAUCAGCCAGCGGCCAGGGCAAUCCCGCAGGUGAGAGGAGCGCAGCAGCACUCAAGAAGGAAGAAAGAAGACAAAGGUGUGUUGGAAAAACCUGCUCAGUGCUGCAACUGCUUCGAGUGCUGGCAACAAUCAGCACAGUGCCCAGUAAGCGACCUCUGCGCCAAGUACGUCCACAACCAACUCCUCGACGGCGUCCUAUUCAACGUCAAAGAAGAGUGGGAAGAGGAAGAAGAAUUACAACAAAAUCUUCUAACAGAACUUCAAAAUCAGCAUCCACCUGGCCCUAUUCGGGUAAGCGUAAUUACAUUUCCUAAUGUCUCUAACAUGGACAAACCAAACAACAGCCAAGACAUCAUGGCCAUCUUUCACAACACCAACAGGCAAGACAAUCAGCCCUCCCCCCCGACGAUACCUGCUAUUUGCGACAAGCCAAACACAGAUAACACCGACAGCCCUUUCCUUCUUCAGCGACUAUGUCAACGACAAUCACCAACUGAUAACAGCACCAGAACCCCUAUCCACAUUGACAUCUCAUCUCCAACUCUUGGAAGUGAUAAACAACAACGAACAGGAAUUCUCGUACAUCCUCUCACUGACGAACACAUCGUCGAGAACCCUUCGCCAAAAAUUAUUCACGAGGGCGAUAGAUGUGCUAGAAAUCAAUCCCAGAACUACGAUGAUACAGGAAGAAAACGAUCGCCAACAGCCGAUAGCAUACGCGACAGAACACACAGACGACGUAGUGUCAGCCCUCCUCCUAUCAAAAGAACAAAAAGAUCAUCUCAAAAAGGACCAGCAAAUUCCAGCCUCAGCCCUCCAAGACCUACAUCUUCGUCUACUUUUCCAACACCACCGACAAGCUAUACUUCCACACUCUCUGGAUCAGACUAUCCCGACGGAGGCGAUUCCACAAAUCCAUCAUCAUCCUACACCUUCAUCCUCCACCGCAGGACCUUCGACGCGCUCCCCCCCACCUCCCGAAGAUCACCAUCCUUUGCAGCAUUCGACCACGGCGACCACAUCCACAUCAUCUUCACAGUCAAUCACAGCAACAACUCCUCCCGCCACCUCUCAACCAUCCUUAAAUUCCUUAAAGUCAACAUUGAAGGAAUUACAGAGGCUCAUUCGAGCCUACAACUCAUCCGCUACAUCACCCGAUUCAUUUCAUAUCUUAUACGCAAGGGCCUCGGAAGCUUCUAUAAAUAUGGAAAUAGAAUUAUCCCCAUCCUAAAACCACUUACAGAUGCCCUACUUCACUAUGACGUAACAGACCAACCUACAACAUCCCAUCUUGCAUGCGAACAAUACGUCGAGCAAAAAAAACAAGCAUCCAAAGAGGCCAUAACACAAUGCACAUUCUCCAUCGAUUACAUCAGUUCCCUCAUCACAGAAAACAAAAUAACCUCAUACGAAUCCUUCCAAAGAACACUCCCCACAGAGACCAAGAUCCAGCUCCUAAAACAACUUGGCUAUGUAGGCCAAAAUAUCAUAAAGACCCUAAUCAAGAUUCACACAAUCGAGGCCCUUCAAACCAUUAAAACAAAACACUACUAUCAAUUGAUCAUCGACUCACUCGACCUUUCCUUGGUACAACCAUCCAAUGUUACUUGGUUAACAAGACUAUUUUCAUCUAAUGCAAUCCCAGUUGAAGAAUUUUUUGCCAAAUUCCUAAUCAUCCAUUCAACAAACAUCACAAAAAUUAAUACGUUUGUCGUCCAAGGUCCCACCAACACAGGUAAAUCUCUCAUCCUUAACCUCCUCCUAUCCGAUACAAAACCAACCAGAAUCGCGAGGGAAAGAGACAAAUCAAACUUCCACCUUGACCAACUCCCAAAUAGCACAGCCGUCUUAUUCGAAGAGCCAAUAAUAGAUCAAACUACCAUCGGCACCUGGAAGCUUCUCCUCGAGGGUUCUCCAAUACCCACCGACAUGAAGCACUCCGACAAGGAGAUCAUCAUGAUACUUACGAAGAUUACGGCUCUCCUAGGGUAAGUAACAAUGGCAAAUCAACUUCUUUGGUCCAACCAAACAUCAGACCCAAAACACAAUGGACAUCAUUCACGACACCCCAGAACAAAACAAUCACUCUUCCACCUCGCCGAUACAUUCUCAUCUGCCAAACCAAAACACAAAUCUCCAACGAGCAGAUAGAAGAUCUCAACCUCUAUCUCCAUCACCAUCACCACCCAUCAUCAGCCCCGGAAACACUUCUGAACAUAACCUCUCACUUCCAACUACUUCAUCAUCUACUAAACAAAAACUGUCUAUACAUUUCACUGACCAACAAAUCCAGCAAGAAAACAAGACAAGAACUCCUACUAACGGCGAUACACAUACUUCAAGCAACUCCAAAAACAUUAAUCUAUCAAGAACAGCAGAAAACGAAUAAGAGGAAAUGGCGACUCCACACAACACGACAUUACUGACGAGCCUACUAGAAACAAAACAACAAAGAUCGACACUAACAUCUCCAGUCCCUCUACCUCCACUCAAAGAAACUCAGUUAACACACCUUCUCACACCUAUUCGUCCAACUGCGACAUCAUCCAUAAGACAAACUUCUCAAACACACCCCCCACCAACUUCAAGAGAGCCCCCACAUUUGCCAGCUUUGAUCAUGGAGACCACGUCCACUAUGUCUUCACCGUCUCCCACACAAAUAGCUGUUAACAGAGCGAUCAACAAAAUCCUACAAUUUCUUAAAUCAACCUAUCCAGGAGUUGCAGAAGUUCAUGCGACUACACAACAAGUGCGCUUCCCCUCCCGCUUCUUGGCAUAUCUCAUCCGUAAAGGUCUCUCCGAAUUAUGCAAGAAUGGAACUCGAUCUAUCGACUUCCUCAAAUUAACAAAUUACAUUGCUUCCAAUGACUCCACGGACUCGACUUUCGAGAUUUGCUCUCUUUACAUAGAAGAAAAAAAAAGGCCAUCGCAAAAGAAACAAUAACUCAAAGAACCUUUUCCGUCGAUUUCAUUGCUUCUCAUUGAGACACAUUCAAUCUCUUCUGUCGAAGACUUCCAACGCAAAGUACCCACAGAUACAAAGAUUCAACUUUUGAAACAGAUGGGAUACAUAGGACAAAACAUCAUUAAAUCUCUAAUCAAAAUAUUCAACACACAAUCCCAACAAAACAUCAAAUCCAAACAUUUCUUUCAAAUAUUAAGAGGCAAUUACGACCUCACCAAAACAAAUUCCAAUAACAUAUCUUGGUUCACAACAUUUUUCGAAGAAAACAAUAGUCAACCCAAAGACUUCUCUCAAUUCAUCAUAAUACACUCCACGGCACUACCCAAAAUCAACGCUUUCAUCAUCAAAGGACCAACAAGCACCGGAAAAACACUUCUUCUUUCUCUACUCCUCAUAGAUACACGCCCCACCAGAAUAUCUAGAGAAAAAGUGAGCCGAUCCCUUCGGCUCAUUGCUUGUGGUGUCCUCUCCGAGCGGCGGCCGCGGCCACGGGUCACACCGUUUUUCCUACCUUUCCUACUACCUAUCCUUAGUCCGUGGCGCAUUCUACGUCAUCGCUCCCCUAUCCUUGCUGAUUCGGCUGAAGCACGCGGUCUCUUCUGCCUGGAAAGUCAUCGUGUAUGGACGUCUCGCUCCGUAACUAAAUUCUGUUUGGGUCGGCGCCAUGAAAGAUUCGGUUUGGUAGCUAAACUCCAGGCAGGAGAGCCCAUCUCGAGGUAAUGUACGUAACGCUAGCGUACUGAUUCUUGUUUUUGGAGAAACUGUGUAAGCUGAGAAUGUAUAUAUAGCUUUUGUGUGUAUUGUGUGUGCAGAGAUGGUAUUAUGCUAGCGUGAUGUUUGUUAUUAAGUAUGCCUUAUAUGUCGCUUGUGGCGGAGACAGCCUGUGCGAGUUGUGAUAGGGUACCUUAUGGCUGGUUAUGCCGAUUAAUUGUUCUGUUUUCUUUUUUUUUUUUCACAAAUUACUGGUCAUAUAUUAAAUGUUAAUUGAUUUUCUUGUUUAUUUCUCUUUUUUUCCCCCCUGAGUAAUACGACAUAAGAACAACCCGUCCCCCCAACUAGUGGUGGGGGCUCAAAAGACAAAUCCAACUUCAUCUCGACCAAUUACCAAACAGCACAUCAGUCAUAUAUGAAGAGCCCAUCAUCGACCAAACAACCAUUGGCACUUGGAAACUUCUUCUCGAAGGUUCACCUGUACCAACCGAUAUGAAACAUACCGACAAGGAACUUAUUAACAGACCCCCUAUAUUCAUUUCCACAAAUCAUUACUUAUGGAAUUGGGUUCCAUCAGAAGAAAUUCCACCACUCCAACAAUGCAUCUAUCAGUUUGAAACUUCUGCCACAAUUCAAUCUCCACUUUCCACGUCAUUCACAAUACCACAUCCAACAUCACAAAACAUGACAUCUAUGCUUUCAUCCUUCAUCACACCCAAGAUACAUAUCGUAUAUCAUCUUCAAUGCACUCCAUCAUCUCCACUUUCCCCACAUACAAUUCAAUCAAAAUUCUAUCUCUAUCCUGUGAAAUGGAAAGGAGUCACAUAUAAAUUUGGAACGAACCCGUGAAAUAUAGACAAACAAAAAUUCAUCAAAGGAAAGUUACGGAUUUUUUCCGGAAAAUGAAAGACAAAAAAUUGUAUCAUUAUACUGAUUGCGCAGCUUUCGGACAAUAUAUGAGGUCAAAAGGCAGGUACAGAGACAACUUAAAAGAUCUGGUGGCGGAAUAUUGGGUAGACAACACUCAGAAAUAGAAGAGACCAAAACGAGGUGUCUUCAAUUUCGUGGGUGAAGUUUCAAAAAUCCUAUUGGGAACAUUAACGCAAUCAGAUGCAAAAAAUUACAACAAACACAUGACGGAAUUAGAGAAAGAACAAAAAGAGUUUUUACACUUGUCAAAUGAACAAAUGACAAUUAUAAAAACCACCAUCACCUCAGUAAAUUCAACACUGCAAAAGGUGAAUCAGAAUGAAAAGGUUUUGAAGGAAGGUUUAGACAAACUACUUAACUUCAGUAAACAUAAAAUAAAUGAACUAGAGGAAGAAAUUGAAAACGUAAAUUUAAUCAAUGAGCAAUUUCGUCUGAUACAGAGAGGGGUUGAUGAAAGUCAACACUCAUUUGAGAUAUUAAAUGAUGCCUUUGUUCAUGCAGAACAAGGAACUAUGCAACCACAGCUGAUAACCGCAGAAAAGAUAAAGAACUUUUUGGGAAGCCAAAAACUGCCAAGCGGACUGGACUACCCUAACUUCCCUUUCCCAGAAUUACAGAAGAUAAUAACUCCUAAAACCUAUUCAUAUAAACAAUAUUUGGUUUAUGUAUUGGAAAUUCCUUUAUUUUCACCAACCAUGUAUCAAUUGUAAAAGUGUAAAAGACCAAUCCCUGUCAUGGUGAAACAACAAGAAUCUACCUAUAGUUACAUAAAUUUUAAUAAAGAGUAUAUGUUCAGUUAUGCCUUGAGGCAACAUUUUGGAAAAAUGACAACUAAUGGGUUGUCAGGUUGUUUUCAACCAAAUGAAAUCACUUAUGUAUGUACGGAAGAGAUUCCUAUUUACACGUACAUUACAGAGGUGGACUGUGAAGCAACAUUGCUACACCCAUCAACAACGAGGAUCCCAGACAGUUGUGAAUACAGAUUUUUCAAACAGUAAAACUCUGUGGAUACCUCUACAUUUAAGCAACCAAUGGCUGUUCAUGAAUCCAAAUGUAGAAACCUUUACCAUCUUAUGUCCUCAUGAAACAACGACGGUAAAAAUACAAAACAAAGGUAAAUUAACUUUGAAACCUGAGUGUAAAGAAUACUCAUCUUAUGUAACUUUAUAUGCAAUGUCAACCAUGGUAACAAACUUAACAAAUGAUUAUGUACCUUAUGUUCCUGUAAAUUUUAAUUGUUGCUUCGAAGAUUUGAAAGAUGUAAACUUUGAAGACUUACCUUAGCAUACACCAUUAAUAAAUAUUAUGUCUUCAAUCGACGACUUGAAGAGUCACAGGUAGGCAAACAGAGGAGGUACAACAAAUGAUAAAAGAUCAAGAAAUUAAGCAGAACCAAAGGUUUUACACAGUUGCAACAUCCUGGGGAGCAACAAUAAUUGGUAUAAUUGUUAUAUGCAUUUGUUGCAGUUGUUGUUGUAAAUGCUGCACAAAUGGCUUCUUUUGGAUUUGGGAAAAGUGGACCCUGAGGGAUUGUUCGCAACAAGCUCAAGAUAAAUGCUGUGUCAGUACUUACAAUUACAAUGGUUCUAAAGUAGAGUAUACAAAGACAAAUACCUCUCCCGCCAUAUCCUUGAAAUCAUUACCCGGGAUAGGAGACGCCGUAACUGAGCAACCUAGGAAAAUCCGUGCUGAAAGUUCAGAUAUGGAAGAAUCAGAACCUAUAUCAACGAGAACAAGGAGCAGAAAAAUGUUCCGUCAAAAGAGUAAAAAGGAAAAGUU